rnacentral:sRNA from 1 species
AGCUCUCCGUCUCUCUUUCUCUCUCAGCCUCUGUCUUUCUCCCUGUCUCCCCCACUGUCAGCACCUCUUCUGUGUGGUGAGUGGACCGCUUACCCCACUAGGUGAAGAUGUCAGCCCAGGAGAGCUGCCUCAGCCUCAUCAAGUACUUCCUCUUCGUUUUCAACCUCUUCUUCUUUGUCCUCGGCAGCCUGAUCUUCUGCUUCGGCAUCUGGAUCCUCAUCGACAAGACCAGCUUCGUGUCCUUUGUGGGCUUGGCCUUCGUGCCUCUGCAGAUCUGGUCCAAAGUCCUGGCCAUCUCGGGAAUCUUCACCAUGGGCAUCGCCCUCCUGGGUUGUGUGGGGGCCCUCAAGGAGCUCCGCUGCCUCCUGGGCCUGUAUUUUGGGAUGCUGCUGCUCCUGUUUGCCACACAGAUCACCCUGGGAAUCCUCAUCUCCACUCAGCGGGCCCAGCUGGAGCGAAGCUUGCAGGACGUCGUAGAGGAAACCAUCCAAAAGUACCGCACCAACCCCGAGGAGACCGCGGCCGAGGAGAGCUGGGACUAUGUGCAGUUCCAGGCCCGACGCCCCCCACUCCCCAGAUGACACGACUGUCCCCGGCGUC